CAAAUUGGGACAAAUCCAUGUGGCACAGCACCUCUUCAACUGUGUCAGACAGAUGUCACUCACGUUCCUGAAUUUGGCUGUCUAAAAUAUGCACAUGUAACGAUAGAUUCUCAUUCUUCUUACGUAUUUGCCACAGCACAUACAGGUGAACAUAGUCAUGACACCCGUAAACACUAGUUAUCUGCUUAUGCUGCUAUGGGAAUCCCACAUACUACAAAAACACAUAAUGGGUCUGCGUAUACCUCUAAGGCCACUCGAACUUUCCUCCAAGAAGGGGGUGUUAAACAUACUACAGCCAUUGCUCAUUCUCCCACUGGACAAGCAAUCACUGAGCACAUUUAUCAAACAUUGAAAUCCAUUCUUAUUAUUAUUAAACAAAAAAGGGCGGAUAUGGGAGACACACUACAAGAAAUAUUAUGCAAGGUUUUGCUUGUUUUGUUUGUGCUGAAUUUUUUGAAUCGUGAUCAUAGAGAUACAGCUUAUGUGGAUUGUCAUUUUGAGGCUUCCCCAGUGCUAAAGGAACAGCCUAUGGUUAAUGUUUGGAAUAUGGCCACAGGACUUUGGGACUGUACCCUAGCACUGACAACUUGGGGUCAUGAACAUGCUCGUAUUUCCACAGGGACUGGCCCUACGUGGGUUCCAGCAUGAUAUGUUCGGUCUCAUCUGAAGGCAGGAAAUAGCAUCCAGCCUUCAUAGUAAUUGUAAUUGCGUGUUUCUUACUUAGUGGUCUUGCUUUGUAACCUGCUGUGUUAUAGAUAAUAUUAGUAAUAGUUUGACAUAGUGUGUGAUUUUCUGUUUUACCGAUGCGGUCUAAAGAAUUAGAGUUUAAGGCACUAGCUAGGAUGUUGUGUGCUUCUUCUAUUUUAGUAAUAGAUCAGAUGUGUAUUAAACAGGAUUUGAUCUAAUCAAUGCUAGAACCUACAGGAAUAGCUCUUUUAAUGUUUUAGUACUGUUAGGUUAUGAUGUUAUUAUCCUAUUAAUUAGCUUUUCUUAAUUUGCAAAGACAAAACCUGGAAAGGAAUCCCAGUCAAAGAGAUGACCCUGUAUCAUAGAAUAGAUACCUCUCUUACAUCCAACUAAUUGGGAUUUUUGAAAUAUAACCAUGCAUCAUUUUAGACAAAAGUGCACGCUAAUAGAACUAAAUUUGAUAGUUUAUUCUGUUUUCCAAGCAGGUGUUCCACUUGG